rnacentral:rRNA from 1 species
UACAGAGGGGGCAAGCGUUGUUCGGAAUUACUGGGCGUAAAGGGCGCGUAGGCGGCCUUCUAAGUCGAACGUGAAAUCCCCGGGCUCAACCCGGGAACUGCGUCCGAUACUGGAAGGCUUGAAUCCGGGAGAGGGAUGCGGGAAUUCCAGGUGUAGCGGUGAAAUGCGUAGAUAUCUGGAGGAACACCGGUGGCGAAGGCGGCGAUCC